rnacentral:rRNA from 1 species
GAUGAACGCUAGCGGCAGGCUUAACACAUGCAAGUCGAGGGGUAGGUUACUUCGGUAAUUGAGACCGGCGCACGGGUGCGUAACGCGUAUACAAUCUACCUUUUACAGAGGGAUAGCCCAGAGAAAUUUGGAUUAAAUACCUCAUAGUAUUUUUGAAUCGCAUGAUUUGAUUAUUAAAGUUCCAACGGUAAAAGAUGAGUAUGCGUCCCAUUAGCUAGAUGGUAAGGUAACGGCUUACCAUGGCUACGAUGGGUAGGGGUCCUGAGAGGGAGAUCCCCCACCACUGGUACUGAGACACGGACCAGACUCCUAC